rnacentral:rRNA from 1 species
AGUGAACGCUGGCGGUAGGCCUAACACAUGCAAGUCGAACGGCAGCACAGUAAGAGCUUGCUCUUACGGGUGGCGAGUGGCGGACGGGUGAGGAAUACAUCGGAAUCUACUUUUUCGUGGGGGAUAACGUAGGGAAACUUACGCUAAUACCGCAUACGACCUACGGGUGAAAGCAGGGGAUCUUCGGACCUUGCGCGAUUGAAUGAGCCGAUGUCGGAUUAGCUAGUUGGCGGGGUAAAGGCCCACCAAGGCGACGAUUCGUAGCUGGUCUGAGAGGAUGAUCAGCCACACUGGAACUGAGACACGGUCCAGACUCCUACGGGAGGCAGCAGUGGGGAAUAUUGGACAAUGGGCGCAAGCCUGAUCCAGCCAUACCGCGUGGGUGAAGAAGGCCUUCGGAUUGUAAAGCCCUUUUGUUGGGAAAGAAAAGCAGCAGGUUAAUACCCCGCUGUUCUGACGGUACCCAAAGAAUAAGCACCGGCUAACUUCGUG